GUGCCUAACACAUGCAAGUCGAACGAGAAAGUGGCUUCGGCCAUGAGUAAAGUGGCGACCGGGUGAGUAACACGUGACUAACCUACCUUCGAGUGGGGAAUAACCUCGGGAAACCGGGGCUAAUACCGCAUAAUGUCUUCGGACCAAAGGAGCAAUUCGCUUGAAGAGGGGGUCGCGGCCGAUUAGCUAGUUGGUGGGGUAACGGCCCACCAAGGCCAUGAUCGGUAGCCGGCCUGAGAGGGCGCACGGCCACACUGGAACUGAAACACGGUCCAGA
rnacentral:rRNA from 1 species